UACCAGCACCCCGAGUGGUCGGGACGUUUAUUGGGCCUAAAGCAUCCGUAGCCGGUUCUACAAGUCUUCCGUUAAAUCCACCUGCUCAACAGAUGGGCUGCGGAGGAUACUAUAGAGCUAGGAGGCGGGAGAGGCAAGCGGUACUUAGUGGGUAGGGGUAAAAUCCGUUGAUCCAUUGAAGACCACCAGUGGCGAAGGCGGCUUGCCAGAAUGCGCUCGACGGUGAGGGAUGAAAGCUGGGGGAGCAAACCGG
rnacentral:rRNA from 1 species